rnacentral:rRNA from 1 species
UACGUAGGGUGCAAGCGUUAAUCGGAAUUACUGGGCGUAAAGCGUGCGCAGGCGGCUUUGCAAGACAGAUGUGAAAUCCCCGGGCUUAACCUGGGAACUGCAUUUGUGACUGCAUGGCUGGAGGGUGGCAGAGGCGGGCGGAAUUCCCGGUGUAGUGGUGAAAUGCGUAGAUACCGGGAGGAACACCCGCGGCGAAGGCGGCCCGCUGGGCCACCCCUGACGCUGAGGCGCGAAGGCCCGGGGAGCGAACGGG